rnacentral:rRNA from 1 species
GAUGAACGCUGGCGGCGUGCCUAAUACAUGCAAGUCGAGCGAACGGACGAGAAGCUUGCUUUUCUGAUGUUAGCGGCGGACGGGUGAGUAACACGUGGAUAACCUACCUAUAAGACUGGGAUAACUUCGGGAAACCGGAGCUAAUACCGGAUAAUAUUUUGAACCGCAUGGUUCAAAAGUGAAAGACGGUCUUGCUGUCACUUAUAGAUGGAUCCGCGCUGCAUUAGCUAGUUGGUAAGGUAACGGCUUACCAAGGCAACGAUGCAUAGCCGACCUGAGAGGGUGAUCGGCCACACUGGAACUGAGACACGGUCCAGACUCCUACGGGAGGCAGCAGUAGGGAAUCUUCCGCAAUGGGCGAAAGCCUGACGGAGCAACGCCGCGUGAGUGAUGAAGGUCUUCGGAUCGUAAAACUCUGUUAUUAGGGAAGAACAUAUGUGUAAGUAACUGUGCACAUCUUGACGGUACCUAAUCAGAAAGCCACGGCUAACUACGUGCCAGCAGCCGCGGUAAUACGUAGGUGGCAAGCGUUAUCCGGAAUUAUUGGGCGUAAAGCGCGCGUAGGCGGUUUUUUAAGUCUGAUGUGAAAGCCCACGGCUCAACCGUGGAGGGUCAUUGGAAACUGGAAAACUUGAGUGCAGAAGAGGAAAGUGGAAUUCCAUGUGUAGCGGCGAAAUGCGCAGAGAUAUGGAGGAACACCAGUGGCGAAGGCGACUUUCUGGUCUGUAACUGACGCUGAUGUGCGAAAGCGUGGGGAUCAAACAGGAUUAGAUACCCUGGUAGUCCACGCCGUAAACGAUGAGUGCUAAGUGUUAGGGGGUUUCCGCCCUUAGUGCUGCAGCUAACGCAUUAAGCACUCCGCCUGGGGAGUACGACCGCAAGGUUGAAACUCAAAGGAAUUGACGGGGACCCGCACAAGCGGUGGAGCAUGUGGUUUAAUUCGAAGCAACGCGAAGAACCUUACCAAAUCUUGACAUCCUUUGACAACUCUAGAGAUAGAGCCUUCCCCUUCGGGGGACAAAGUGACAGGUGGUGCAUGGUUGUCGUCAGCUCGUGUCGUGAGAUGUUGGGUUAAGUCCCGCAACGAGCGCAACCCUUAAGCUUAGUUGCCAUCAUUAAGUUGGGCACUCUAAGUUGACUGCCGGUGACAAACCGGAGGAAGGUGGGGAUGACGUCAAAUCAUCAUGCCCCUUAUGAUUUGGGCUACACACGUGCUACAAUGGACAAUACAAAGGGCAGCGAAACCGCGAGGUCAAGCAAAUCCCAUAAAGUUGUUCUCAGUUCGGAUUGUAGUCUGCAACUCGACUACAUGAAGCUGGAAUCGCUAGUAAUCGUAGAUCAGCAUGCUACGGUGAAUACGUUCCCGGGUCU